rnacentral:rRNA from 1 species
GGUUACGACAAGCUACACGGUGGAUGCCCCGGCAUGAGGCGAUGAAGGUCGUGCAUCUGCGAAAGCGUCGGUAAGGUGAUAUGAACCGUUAUAACCGCUGAUGUCCGAAUGGGAAACCCAGUGUGAUUCGUCACACCAUCGUUAAUAAUACAUAGGUUAACGAGCGACCGGAACUGAACAUUAAGUACCCCGGGAAAAGAAAUCACCGAUUCCAGUAGCGGCGAGCGAAUGGGGAGCAGCCCAGUCUAAUCAGCCUGGUGUUAGUGGAACGGUCUGGAAAGUCCGAUGGUACAGGUGUAGUCCGUACACCAAAAUGCCAGUGUGAACUCGAAGAGUAGGGCGGGACACGGUACUGUCUGAAUAUGGGGACCAUCCUCCGCUAAAUACUCCGACUGACCGAUAGUGAACCAGUACCGUGAGGAAAGGCGAAAAGAAGCGAGGGGAGGAAAAGAACCUGAAACCGUGUACGUCAAGCAGUGGAGCAAUCUUCGCGUGACUGCGUACCUUUUGUAUAAUGGUCAGGACUUAUAUUCAGCAGGUUGAUCCGUAUAGGGCUGCAGAACUAGUCUAACUGGCGUUAUUGCAGGGUAUAGCCGAAACCCGGAUUCAGCCAUGGGCAGGCUGAAGGUUGGGUAACACUCAACUGAGACCGAACCGACUAAGUGAAAAUUAGCGGAUGACUUGUGGCUGGGGUGAAAGGCCAAUCAAACCGGAGAUAGUGGUUCUCCCCGAGCUAUUUAGGUAGCGCCUCGUGAAUUCAUCUUCGGUAGAGCACUGUUUCGGCUAGGGGUCAUCCCGACUACCAACCCGAUGCAAACUACGAAUACCGAAGAAUGUUAAUCGGGAGACACACGGCGGUGCUACGUCCGUCGAAGGGAACAACCCAGACCGCCAGCUAAAUCCCAAAGUCAUGGUUAUGGAAACGAUGUGGAAGGCACAGAUGAUGCUUGAAGCAGCCAUCAUUUAAAAGCGUAAUAGCUCCAUGGUCGAGUCGGCCUGCGCGAAGAUGUAACGGGCUCCAUGCACCGAAGCUGGCAGCGACACCAUGUGUGGGUGGGAGCGUUCUGUGCCUGCGAAGGUGACCCGGAGGGUUGCUGGCAGCAUCAGAAGUGCGAUGCUGACAUAAGUAACGAUAAAGGGUGAAAAGCCGCUCGCCGGAAGACCAAGGUUCCUGUCCAAACGUUGGCAGGGUGAGUCGACCAAGGCGAGGCCGAAAGGCGUAGUCAUGGAAACAGGUUAAUAUUCCUGUACUUGAGUUACUGCGAGGGGACGGAGAAGGCUAUGUUAGCCGGCGACGGUUGUCCGGUUUACAUGUAGGCUGGUUGUCCGUGCAACCGGAUAAUCAAGCUGAGGUGAUGACGAGGCACUACGGUGCUGAGUAACAAAUGCCCGCUUCCGUGAAACCUCUACAUCAGGUAACAUCAAAUCGUACCCCAAACCGACACGGGUGUCAGGAGAAUACCAAGGCGCUUGAGAACUCCGGGUGAAGGAACGCAAAAUGGUGCCGUAAUCGAGAAGGCACGCUGGUGGUGAAGUCCCGGAUGGGCUGACCAGUCGAAGAUACCAGCUGGUAACUUUUAUUAAACACAGCACUUCAAACACGAAAGUGGACGCUACGGUGACGCCUGCCCGGUAGAGGUUAAUGAUGGGGUUAUCCAAGGAGAAGCCUUGAUCGAAGCCUGAAACGCGGCCGUAACUAUAACGGUCCUAAGGUAGCGAAAUCUUGUCGGUAAGUUCCGACCUAUGAAUGGCGUAAGAUGGCGGCUGUUCCCCGAGCUCAGGAAUGAACUGCUGUAAGAUGCAGUGUACCCGCGCGACGGAAGACCCGUGAACCUUUACUAUAGCUGACACUGAACAUUGAGCCUUGAUGUAGAUAGGUGGGAGGCUUUAGGUGGACGUUAGUGCGUGGAGCCAACCUGAACCACCCUACUUUGAUGUUCUAACGUUGGCCCCGACCGGGGUUGGGACAGUCUGUGGGUUUGACUGGGGCGGUCCUCCCAAAGCGUAACGGAGGACACGAGGAACUAACUGGUCGACAUCAGGAGGUUGGCAAUGGCAUUGUUGACUGCGAGCGUGACGGCGAGCAGGUGAGCAGGUCAUAGUGAUCGGUGGUUCAAUGAAGGCAUCCUCCGGAUAAAAUCUCCGGGAUAACAAUACCGCCCAGAGUCUACGACGGCGGUGUUGGCACCUCGAUGUCGCUCAUCCCCGGGCUGAAGUAGGUCCGGGUAUGGCUGUUCGCCAUUUAAAGUGGUACGCGAGCUGGGUUUAGAACGUCGUGAGACAGUUCGGUCCCUAUCUGCCGUGGGCGCUGGAGAAUUGAGGGGGGCUGCUCCUAGUACGAGAGGACCGGAGUGGACGCAUCACUGGUGUUCGGGUUGUCAUGCCAAUGGCACUGCCCGGUAGCUAAAUGCGGAAGAGAUAAGUGCUGAAAGCAUCUAAGCACGAAACUUGCCCCGAGAUGAGUUCUCCCUGAGACUUUAAGUCUCCUGAAGGAACGUUAAAGACGAUGACGUUGAUAGGCCGGGUGUGUAAGCGCAGCGAUGCGUUGAGCUAACCGGUACUAAUGAACCGUGAGGCUUAACCUUACAACGCCGAAG